rnacentral:misc_RNA from 1 species
CAACCCUCAAGCCCCAGCGGUUUGGUGUUGGGCAUCGGCCGUCCUCUGCGGCGGCCGUGCCCCAAAUACAGUGGCGGACUCGCUGUUGCCUCCUCUGCGUAGUAAUUACACCUCGCACCGGAUAGACACGAAGUCCACGCCGUAAAACAACCCAAUUUCUGAA